GAGUGGUGGCUAUGUCGUGAUACUGCCUUCUUGAAUUGACGAGACUAAUCAAUGAUCAAGAUCUGAUGAAUUGAUGAUCUUGAUCUUGAUCUUGAUCAAUGAUCAGAGGGAGCGUGACAGCGAGAAUCUCCAGCUUGAUCAAUGAUCAAGAUCUGAUGUUGUCUUUAUAGACCAUUGCACACUCUCUGCUUCUUUUUUUUUUUUUUUAAAUUUUCUUUUUCUUUUUCUUUUGUACACUUGCUGUCUUGACUCCAUUUUUAAUUCCCUAUUGGCAUUAGUGACUAUUUAUUGGAAACUUUAAUACAUUGCACCAUGCUGUUAGGAUGUGUUUGGUUGUGCAUCAAAUAUCAUGAAAUUUGCAGGUGCAACCAAACACACCCUUAAUUUCACGAUUCAUGAUAUUUGGAGGUGCAACCAAACAUACCCUUAGAGAUGAUAACAUUGAUUUAGAAUUGAAGCGAAAUUAUUAGGAGGGGAGAGGUUGUCACUAAAAUUGAGUAUUUCUUGAACUUUGUUGAAAAUUGUUUUAAAAAAUUCCAUUGUAUUUCUUCUCAAAGAUUGUAUCUCUUUAGUGUUGAGAGUUGUUGUCGAAUAUGGUAAUUGACUGAGUUUUUGGGAAAAAGAUAAAAAAAGGGGGAAGUUUCUCUGCUACAAGAAUUGACUAUUUUAUGUAAUGUUGAUUGGUUCAUGAGAGUGAGGACUUCUGCUACGAUCAAAUCAUUCAUCCUUCUCUUGAGAUUGCAGAUAGCGCAUGGAAAUUUGAAGGCUUCAGUUCCACUGUUAAAAUGCAAAUCCCAAGACCCAAGUCCAUGGAAGGGACUGUUUGGAAAUACUUC